AACGAACGCUGGCGGCAUGCCUAACACAUGCAAGUCGAACGAGACCUUCGGGCUUAGUGGCGCACGGGUGCGUAACGCGGGGGAACCUGCCCUUAGGUUCGGAAGAACUCCCGGAAAAGGGUGCUAAUACCGGAGAAUGUCCUCCGACCAAAGAUUUAUCGCCUUUGGAUGGGCUUGAGUUGGAUUAGCUAGUUGGUAGGGUAAGAGCCUACCAAGGCGACGAUCCAUAGCUGGUCUGAGAGGAUGAUCAGCCACACUGGGACUGGGACACGGCCCAGACUCCUGCGGGAGGCAGCAGUGGGGAAUAUUGGACAAUGGGCGAAAGCCUGAUCCAGCCAUGCCGCGUGAGUGAUGAAGGCCUUAGGGUUGUAAGGCUCUUUUACCCGGGAUGAUAAUGACUGAACCGGGAGAAUAAGCUCGGGCUAACUCCGU
rnacentral:rRNA from 1 species